rnacentral:rRNA from 1 species
UACGUAGGAGGCGAGCGUUAUCCGGAUUUAUUGGGCGUAAAGCGUCCGCAGCCGGUUUAUUAAGUGUGGAAUUAAAGCCCGGGGCUCAACCCCGGUUCGUUCUGCAAACUGAUAGACUAGAGCGUGGUAGAGGCAAGUGGAAUUUCUAGUGUAGCGGUAGAAUGCGUAGAUAUUAGAAGGAACACCAGUGGCGAAAGCGACUUGCUGGGCCAUUACUGACGGUCAGGCUCGAAAGCGCGGGUAUCAAACA